AUUGAACGCUGGCGGAAUGCUUUACACAUGCAAGUCGAGCGGCAGCGCGGGGCAACCUGGCGGCGAGCGGCGAACGGGUGAGUAAUACAUCGGAACGUGCCCAGACGUGGGGGAUAACUACUCGAAAGAGUGGCUAAUACCGCAUACGAUCUAAGGAUGAAAGCGGGGGAUCGCAAGACCUCGCGCGUUUGGAGCGGCCGAUGGCAGAUUAGGUAGUUGGUGGGGUAAAGGCUUACCAAGCCCGCGAUCUGUAGCUGGUCUGAGAGGAUGAUCAGCCACACUGGGACUGAGACACGGCCCAGACUCCUACGGGAGGCAGCAGUGAGGAAUAUUGGUCAAUGGGCGGAAGCCUGAACCAGCCAUCCCGCGUGAAGGAAGACAGCCUUACGGGUUGUAAACUUCUUUUCUGUCAGAAGAAUAAGCUUGUCGAGACGAGUGAUGCCGGUAUGACAGGAAUAAGCAUCGGCUAACUCCGUG
rnacentral:rRNA from 1 species